GCUCAGCCCACGCCUUUAGCUAAGCUGGGUUUGAUCACUGGGAGACCUGAGUUUGCCCUACCCUGUGCUGCUCUUCUGCAGCUCUCUUGGCUUACUGUCCCCCUGGGAGCUGGAGCUGGGACUUCCCCAGGGUGAGCCAGAGCUGUUUGCUUUUCUGGAAGCUUUGCUCUGGCCGUGCCAAAGGAGCUUGCUGGGGAUGUGCAACAAACCGGAGAGUUACAGCUCACCUGGGGCACUUCUGCCUUCCGAAGAGGGAUUGAAUGAAUAUUGCUGACUGCAGCCGCUGGCCCAGAGGCAAGAAGUGCCUGAAAGGCACGAGGCCAGUGACACGCAGACAGCCGGGGAGGUUUCUUGUUGUGCAUCGCUCCUCCUGCAGAGCUGAAAUGAGCCUUUAAUGUCGCAGAGGCCACUGUGACACCAGGCAGAAGCAAAAGAGGGAAAACAAUGAAUAAAUAAACCUAAGGCUUGUGUGAGUGC